UAAAAACUUCACAAGGAAAGGAGAAUGUUUUGUGGACCAUUUGUUUUGUGUGUG
rnacentral:miRNA from 1 species